rnacentral:rRNA from 1 species
AUGGAUCUAGAGAAAAAACACUCAUUGCUAUGUAUGCCUUCAGGCCUGGCCUGGUGCAUCUGGGUUCACCAUCCCGGUGGACUAGAUGGAUUGAGUUGGAGACUGCUUCCUUCUCUGGGCGGAAUUGCUCUGCUCAGCAGUGCCGCCGAGUUCUCCCACCAGAACCGCGCACGACGAGUCGGCUGUUGCCGGUGCCGAUGGCCCAACAGCCGUCAAAACUAA